AUCGUUUCUCGGCCUUUUGGCUAAGAUCAAGUGUAGUAUCUCCACAUCUACGCCAAAAUCACUGGUUUUGGGAUUUUGUGAUAUGAGCUGAUCUUACUGGAGUUAGGUGAUAUCUCAAAGUAGUUUUGAUUUGCAUUUCUCUGAUGCUUAAGGAUGGUGAGCAUUUUUUCAUAUAUCUGUAGGCCACGCACC
rfam:Otolemur garnettii contig001570, whole genome shotgun sequence.